rnacentral:rRNA from 1 species
AGAAUCAACGCUGGCGGCGUGCCUAACACAUGCAAGUCGAACGAGAAAGGGUAGCAAUACCUGAGUAAAGUGGCGCACGGGUGAGUAACACGUGACUAACCUACCUUUUAGUGGGGGAUAACCUAGGGAAACCUGGGCUAAUACCGCAUAAUACCUACGGGUCAAAGCAGCAAUGCGCUGAAAGAGGGGGUCGCGGCCGAUUAGCUAGUUGGCGGGGUAAUGGCCCACCAAGGCAGUGAUCGGUA